GCUUCUCUAUAAUGAAUUCUUAGUUUUGCGCCAUGAGUCCGUCUGCUUCCAUAGGAUGUCGACGCGUUGGCCUUCUGGAGCCUUCCAUCCUUUUCGAUCCGUGUCUCACAAACGCUUUUCUUCCUCUCAAUCCUCACGUUUUCUGGCUCUGAUCUCGAGUUCUCCGUCUCUCUCUCGCUUUCUUGCUAAGAACAACGAACCAGUCAAAAUUUGUGUAGAUAUUUUUCUGGAAAAGUAGAAACGAUGUGCUGUUCUUCCUUCCUUCUUCCUCCCCAUCCGUUGGACAACAUCUCUUUCAUUUUGACCUCUCCCUUGGAAACCUAUCGGAGAUCUCUUCAGGUAAAAGAAGAACCCAUAAGAUAUAUGUUCAACUCGAUUCCUCGGGUAAAACUCAUCUUCUUCCCUGAUUUGGAUGGGUUUUCGUUUUGCAUCAAUUUUGAUAAAAAAUUGUGAAAUUUGGGAUGUGAGUAUUGAUGGGGUCGAUUUUGUGCUAGCCGAUAACCUUUGACAACUCGCUGGAACCGAAUGUCGCCAUUGUUGAGAGCUAAGUUUCAUUUGUCAAAGACGAUGGUGAAUUUAGGGAUGUUAUGUAUUUGGGGUAUUUUAAAGUUUAUUGUUUUUGGGUAAUUAAGUUGAAAAGAAUUGUAAUAUUGGGGUUUAUGUUUGGAUCUUGCAAUUUUGGAUAGAUUGAAGUUUGCAUCUUCACAUGAGUGGAUGAAACAUGAAGGCGCAGUGGCAACAACUGCAAAGGUAAGCUCUCUGAUUAAUCUUUUAAUUCACUCUUUAUUUGCACUGUUCACGAUGCCGAUCGGAUUCAACUACAGAGCAUGCACCAUCCCCUACAGAUUCCCCUCCGACAAUCCCCGCAAGCCCACUCCCACUAAGCUCUCCUGGAUCGACCUCUUAUACAACUCCACCCCCUCCUUCAAGAAACGAGCUGAGUUCGACGCAUCAGUUCCCGAUGCUCCAACUAGAGCUAAGAAAUUUGCUCAAGGGUACACACUUUACUGAUUGUUUUGCGAUGAGUGAAUUGGGUUUUCGGAAAUGCCUGCAAUUUGUUUUGGGGGUUUUGAUUUGGUCAUGAUGUUGCAGAUUGAGACAAGCUUUGGAAAAGAAAACAAAUUGGAGUUGAUUUUGUUUGAGUUUAGUGGGGAAGUUCUCUAGCCGAUUUGGUGUGGGUAAUUUUGUGUUUAGAACUGUGAAUUCUGUGCAAAUUUCAUUUUUUCUGAUUUUGUGGAUUUUAUUUCUAGGCUAGAAUGCCGUCAUUUUCCGAAGCCCUCUGUACUCAAGGUAAGAAAUUUAAACUUUUGGUGGAUUUGGAGUUUUGAUUAAGUUUGAUCACAUUGUUUCAGUAUAAUAAUUUACAUUGAUUAAAUUGGAGUUGCAUCUAAGUUC